AACGUACGCUGGCGGCACGCCUAACACAUGCAAGUCGAAACGAAGUAGCAAUACUUAGUGGCAGACGGGUGAGUAACAUGUAGGUAUCUGCCCUUUGGCCUGGAAUAACACGAGGAAACUCGCGCUAAUACCGGAUAAGUCUUUACGGAGAAAGCUUUAUGCACCAUUGGAUGAGCCUGCACUUGAUUAGUUUGUUGGUGGGGUAAUGGCCUACCAAGACUGUGAUCAAUAGCUGAUUUGAGAGGAUGAUCAGCCACAUUGGGACUGAGACACGGCCCAAACUCCUACGGGAGGCAGCAGUGGGGAAUCUUGCACAAUGGAGGAAACUCUGAUGCAGCGAUGCCGCGUGAGUGAAGAAGGCCCUUGGGUUGUAAAGCUCUUUCGUCGGGGAAGAAAAUGACUGUACCCGAAUAAGAAGGUCCGGCUAACUUCGUGCCAGCAGCCGCGGUAAUACGAAGGGACCUAGCGUAGUUCGGAAUUACUGGGCUUAAAGAGUUCGUAGGUGGUUGAAAAAGUUAGUGGUGAAAUCCCAGAGCUUAACUCUGGAACUGCCAUUAAAACUUUUCAGCUAGAGUAUGAUAGAGGAAAGCAGAAUUUCUAGUGUAGAGGUGAAAUUCGUAGAUAUUAGAAAGAAUACCAAUUGCGAAGGCAGCUUUCUGGAUCAUUACUGACACUGAGGAACGAAAGCAUGGGUAGCGAAGAGGAUUAGAUACCCUCGUAGUCCAUGCCGUAAACGAUGUGUGUUAGACGUUGGAAAUUUAUUUUCAGUGUCGCAGGGAAACCGAUAAACACACCGCCUGGGGAGUACGACCGCAAGGUUAAAACUCAAAUGAAUUGACGGGGACCCGCACAAGUAGUGGAGCAUGUGGUUUAAUUCGAAGAUACGCGCAGAACCUUACCAACACUUGACAUGUUCGUCGCGACUCUAAGAGAUUAGAGUUUUCGGUUCGGCCGGACGAAACACAGGUGCUGCAUGGCUGUCGUCAGCUCGUGUCGUGAGAUGUUGGGUUAAGUCCCGCAACGAGCGCAACCCUCACUUUUAGUUGCCAUCAUUAAGUUGGGCACUCUGAAAGAACUGCCAGUGAUAAGCUGGAGGAAGGUGGGGAUGACGUCAAGUCCUCAUGGCCCUUACGUGUUGGGCUACACACGUGCUACAAUGGUAUCUACAACAGGAAGCAAGACUGCGAAGUUAAGCAAAUCCCUAAAAGAUACCUCAGUUCGGAUUGCACUCUGCAACUCGAGUGCAUGAAGCUGGAAUUACUAGUAAUCGUGGAUCAGCGUGCCACGGUGAAUGCGUUCCCGGGUCU
rnacentral:rRNA from 1 species